rnacentral:rRNA from 1 species
UGCAGUCGACGAACCUUCGGGUUAGUGGCGGACGGGUGAGUAACGCGUGAGAAUCUGCCCUCAGGAGGGGGAUAACAGUUGGAAACGACUGCUAAUACCCCAUAUGCCGAGAGGUGAAACGAAUUUUGCCUGGGGAUGAGCUCGCGUCUGAUUAGCUUGUUGGUGGGGUAAAAGCCUACCAAGGCUUCGAUCAGUAGCUGGUCUGAGAGGACGAUCAGCCACACUGGGACUGAGAUACGGCCCAGACUCCUACGGGAGGCAGCAGUGGGGAAUUUUCCGCAAUGGGCGCAAGCCUGACGGAGCAACGCCGCGUGAGGGAUGAAGGCCUUUGGGCUGUAAACCUCUUUUCUCAAGGAAGAAGAUCUGACGGUACUUGAGGAAUAAGCCACGGCUAAUUCCGUGCCAGCAGCCGCGGUAAUACGGGAGUGGCAAGCGUUAUCCGGAAUUAUUGGGCGUAAAGCGUCCGCAGGCGGCCGUUUAAGUCUGUUGUUAAAUCGUGGAGCUCAACUCCAUCACGGCAAUGGAAACUGUUCGGCUUGAGUAUGGUAGGGGCAGAGGGAAUUUCCGGUGUAGCGGUGAAAUGCGUAGAUAUCGGGAAGAACACCAGUGGCAAAAGCGCUCUGCUGGGCCAUUACUGACGCUCAUGGACGAAAGCCAGGGGAGCGAAAGGGAUUAGAUACCCCUGUAGUCCUGGCCGUAAACGAUGAACACUAGAUGUUGGGGGAAUCGACCCCUCCGGUGUCGUAGCUAACGCGUUAAGUGUUCCGCCUGGGGAGUACGCACGCAGUGUGAAACUCAAGGAAUUGACGGGGGCCCGCACAAGCGG